CAGUCGCCACGGGAACACGUAGGGUGCAAGCGUUAAUCGGAAUUACUGGGCGUAAAGCGUGCGCAGGCGGUUAUAUAAGUCAGAUGUGAAAUCCCCGGGCUCAACCUGGGAACUGCAUUUGAGACUGUAUGGCUAGAGUGUGUCAGAGGGGGGUAGGAUUCCACGUGUAGCAGUGAAAUGCGUAGAUAUGUGGAGGAAUAUCGAUGGCGAAGGCAGCCCCCUGGGAUAACACUGACGCUCAUGCACGAAAGCGUGGGGAGCAAACAGGAUUAGAUACCCCGGUAGUCCCUGUCUCUUAUAC
rnacentral:rRNA from 1 species